rnacentral:misc_RNA from 1 species
AGCAGCCGCGGUAAUUCCAGCUCCAAUAGCGUAUAUUAAAGUUGCUGCAGUUAAAAAGCUCGUAGUUGAAUUUCGGGACUAAUAUGUCGGUCGUGCCUCGGUACGUACUGGUUUAUUGGUUUCUCCUUUCUGAAGAACCAUGAUGUCAUUUAUUUGGUGUCAUGGGGAAUCAGGACUGUUACUUUGAAAAAAUUUAGAGUGUUUAAAGCAGGCUCACGCUUGAAUACAUUAGCAUGGAAUAAUGAAAUAGGACGUUUGAUUCUAUUUUGUUGGUUUCUAGGAUCGACGUAAUGAUUAAUAGGGAUAGUUGGGGGCAUUAGUAUUCAAUUGUCAGAGGUGAAAUUCUUGGAUUUAUUGAAGACUAACUACUGCGAAAGCAUUUGCCAAGGAUGUUUUCAUUAAUCAAGAACGAAAGUUAGGGGAUCGAAGACGAUCAGAUACCGUCGUAGUCUUAACCAUAAACUAUGCCGACUAGGGAUCGGAUGAUGUUAAUUUUUUAAUGACUCAUUCGGCGCCUUAC